UACAGGGAUUUAUAUUUUCAAGGCGUACAUCAAAUAAUACUCUGUCACAUGCACUGAACUCUCUUAAAGGAUCACGUUGGAAAAAAGUGAGAGGAGUGCUUUCGCCAUCCUUUACAACCAGGAAAUUGAAAACAAUGUCACCGAUAAUCAACGAUGCCAUGGAAAAACUUCUGAAUAAUAUCGAAAGAAAGUCCAAAACGGGGAAGUCCUUUGACGUGUCCCAGCUUUACCAAGCUUUAACAUUAGACGUGAUUGGAAGAUGUGCUUUAGGUGUUCAGACAGAUGUCCAGAAAGGCGCAGAAGAACACGACCUAGUUAAGAGUUCCAGAAUAAUUUUCUCUGCUACGUUCCAGUCCUUGAUGUUUGUUUUUAUGGUGACAUUUCCGGAAAUUGCAAACCUAUUGUCCCAAAUUCGAUUCUUAUAUUUCAAAUUCUUUAAUAAGGGGGUUAAUCCAUUUCUGCAUCUGCUGGAUACGUGUAUCCAGGUUAUUAAAGCCAGGAAGGCGGACAUUUCGGUAAGCUAAUUUCAACAUAGAAAUUAAACUCUAGAAACCAAUAGAAUCAUAACGAUGACUUAGGGAAAGAACAAACUUUCAAACAAUACAAUUUUCACUUUAUCAACAAUUUGUAGUAAAAUAGUGACUUAAGGACAGAACUCCUUUCAGUGAAUACAAUGAUA